UACGGGGGGAGCAAGCGUUGUUCGGAUUUACUGGGCGUAAAGGGCGCGUAGGCGGCCAGCACAAGUCAGUUGUGAAAUCUCCGAGCUUAACUCGGAAAGGUCAACUGAUACUGUGCGGCUAGAGUGCGGAAGGGGCAACUGGAAUUCUCGGUGUAGCGGUGAAAUGCGUAGAUAUCGAGAGGAACACCUGCGGCGAAGGCGGGUUGCUGGGCCGACACUGACGCUGAUGCGCGAAAGCAUGGGUAGCGAACAGG
rnacentral:rRNA from 1 species